UGAUGCCAUUUCAAUAGUGACUUAUUACAGUCUAUGUACUUUCCAAGAAUGUCACCAUCUCUAAGUAGGAAAUAAUCCUUGUCAUCUAGAGUAUCCAGGCACUUUGGCGCCUCCACAUUCUGGGAGAAGAACUUUAUCUCCAACUUUCACGCUUUCCUUUUGAACGCCACCCAACAGUAGCUGCUGUUGCUUGCAAUAUUUUCCUUGAGACUGUUCUGGAAGCAUAAUGCCUCUUUGGUUGCAAUUUCAGCAGUUCCUCCUUUCAACCAAUAUUUGGUCAAAGAGUGGAAGAAAUUUUCUAAAUGCUUGUCCUGCCAUGACUCCCUCCACCUCAGACUCAAACUCUGCUCUGGCACACAAGCCGCAAGGAGAGACCUGCGGUCCGGCCCUGGCAACACCUGAAAAUGCCGCCCAACGCGCGUAGUUAAGUCAUUUCGCAUCGUCCCAUUAUCAGAAUGGCUUCUGGGAAAACCCCUGCCUUCCACUGUGACAACUCACCUGGUAUUGUGACACACGUGAUGGCCAGUAUCAACAAGGAUUCUUCCGAAUCACACGCUGGGGGCUGUAGGUUUUGUCUGAAAUGCCUGGAGGGACUUCUCCUGUGGAUGACAGGGGCACACACGCUUUGCUUGUGGCAUUAGCACAAUCUCCAUGGCAGAGCCAUCUCGCCGGCAACUUCCCUGUCACUCACCCCUCCCUUCUUCCUGUCCUUUCUGAUAUGACUUGUGGAAUCUGACUCUUGGAACCCAUAGGCCAAAAGGCUUGCUGCUCUCUCGUCGAGAUUCAAAACAAACCUUCAGAAUUGUGCCCUAAGAGACAUUAUAGUAAUAAGAGGAAGACAACAGUCAGAAGGAGGCAGAGCGAGAAGAAAGAAGGAAGAAUAUUAAGACAGGGUUUAAGAAGAUUGAGGGAAGUGAUGAUGGCAGUGGACGGACCUGAGCUCUGCCUUUGCUAGCUAUGCAUGCGUGGAUUCCGGUCACAACAGGACAGCAAUGGGAACCCUUAUCCAGAGCUGGUUUCAUGUCAGGUGCCAAGCAUAGUCCCUGGGAACUACUGGAGGCUCCAAGAUUAUGCCGAAGACAAUUAAAACCAGACUGGAGGCUAGGGGAGUCUCUAAGAAAAAGAUGUCCUUUGGUGACUCCGCUUCGCAGACGUGUCAGCUGUCUAACAGCAGCCCCCAGGCAGGACAGACAAGCGUGACUGCUCUAGAGCUCCUCAUUUCUCUGCACAGCCUUCCUGCUAGGCUGCUCAGUGACUCACAGCAGAAAGAGAAGGAAUCGCUGCUAAACUGUCCCCUAACACCUCCUUCGCCAUGCCCCGAAAAACCAAAAAUGACAAAAAAAACAACUGGCUGAGUUGUUACUUUGGGCUUCCGGGCCCAUCACUCUCUGCAUUUCAGUUCCUUAUUCUGUAGAAAUCGUGAGUUGAAAUGGGAGACCUAAGUUCCCUUCAGGUUCUAAACUUUCUGAGUCUUCGAUCCUACUGGGAGCUAUGGUCAGCUCAGCCCCCUGCCCUCCUCCCACUCUGCAGAGUAGAUCAGGCCUGGUUCCCCAGGAACAAGACCUGCACCCACCCAGCCCCGGGGCUGCCCUUCUGUAGCGUGUCUCUCUUCGUUGUCUGCCUCUGUGCUCUCCUGCUGUACCCUUCAUUCUGUGGAUCAAGCCUGCUCUCCAUGGCCAUUUUAAUAAGAUUUUAUCUCUGUAAAAAUGAUCUAUUCCAGACCAUCCUCUAUCUGGGCUUUGUAUCCUUGGGAACUACAUUUUCCAGGCUCAUUUCCAGACCGGCUAAAGAGAGCCAGGGAUGGACACUGGAGAAUGCGAGAAGGGAAGAAGCCAGGUUUUCAGGGCCACUUGGAAAUCCUCCGUGCUGUCACAGCCUCCGUGGAAGCAGUGCUGAUUAAGCCAAACACACAGUCCGGCCCAGUUCUGCCUGGUGGGGUCAGGGGAAACCAGUCCACCGGAAGUGGGUGUAGGUUCUGGGAGGAGUCUGUCAGGAACGUCACCAUGCCUCCCCCAGUGCUGGACCCACUGUCUGUACCCCAGGUGACUUUCACCGAAGAAGAGGAAGCCAGUGCCAUGCAUCUUGCCGUGGCCUGCCAGCCCGGCCGGUCCUUGGGUUGUCGGAGCAGAGUGGGGUUUUAUGCACAAGCAGGGAAAAUGGCCUCUCUCCUCAGCUCUAAACUAAACUUUGUCACCUGGAAGCUGAGGCAAUGAUGCUUGGAACUGAGAACCAUAAAGGCGUUUUUGUGGGCAGUUUCCCUACUUUCUGGCUCUUAUGCAUCUAACCACUGGGGUCUAAAACCAAAUCCAAAGACCUAGGAAGGAAGAGAAUCCAUACCAUCCUUCCAACCUCCUCCUCCUGGUUCUUAGCUGUCUCAGCAACCCUUCUUUCUACUCCCCAAGUCACAGAGCAAAACUUCCCAACCAUAUCAACAGAGGCAAACAGAUACUCUUGUGUCUAUGGGAGUGUAGGUGUGCUGAUGGGUGUCUACACUAACAGUCUACACUUCAUUUCGACCAGUCCAAGUGUGUUUUAUAUGCUACUUGGUAGUGUUAAUUCACUCUAAUAACUGAAAUAUCUGGUUUUAAGUAGAUUCUAAGAGAAAUGCUCCACGUUACAAUGUCUUUCCCCCAAAAGACAGAACCUAUAUACACAUUGAUGUCGUGUAAUUUACAGGAGCUGCACGUGUGAGAACCUGUUUGUUGUGGGAAGAAGCAAGAGCUCCUCCCCACUUCCUGUGCAGGGCUGGGGUACCUAGCUGCAGUUUAAGAGCAAGGCCUGAGAUCUAGCUACGUUCUUGCCCAUGUGAGGCCCGGUUUUGCCUGAAAAUAGAACUUCUGCAGAAAGUUCCCUUAUCCCUCUUGCAGGACAGGUGACAGGGUUGUGGCUCACCUCUUCAGUGUCCCACUGCUCAAACCCCUGGGGGGAGCAUGCAGACAGCAGGUUGUGGGGAGCUUUUCUGGGCUCUGACCUCUUGGCAGUGUCUAGGGUUGAGUGUUUGCAGCUCCCGAAGCCCCAGGAGGCGUGUGCUACAGUGCGCUCUUUUGGUUUUGACGUCUGCAGGCAGCUUGCGUUAAUCAGCUCAUUUAGACCCUCCGCCUGGUCACAAAGAUGAGGACUUUUUUUUUUUUUUUUUUUGAGAUGGAUUUUUGCUCUUGUUACCCAGGCUGGAGUGCAAUGGUGCGAUCUCGGCUCACCGCAACCUCCACUUCCUGGGUUCAGGCAAUUCUCCUGCCUCAGCCUCCUGAGUAGCUGGGAUUACAGGCACGUGCCACCAUGCCCAGCUAAUUUUUGUAUUUUUAGUAGAGACGGGGUUUCACCAUGUUGACCAGGAUGGUCUCGAUCUCUUGACCUCGUGAUCCACCCGCCUUGGCCUACCAAAGUGCUGGGAUUAUAGGCGUGAGCCACUGCACCCAGCCCGGGCUUUCUUAUCCCCAGUUCUUGCCCUAGUGUACCAGAAAGAAUUGGAUAACACUUGAGCUUGGAAGAUGGGUGCAAGGUUUUAUUGAGUGGUGGAGGUUGCUCUCAGCAAGGUAGAUGGGGAGCCAGAAGGGGGAUGGAGUGGGAAGGCAGUCUUCCCCUGGAGUCGGGCUGUCCAGCGGCUGGACUCUCCUCUGACUGCCCUUGUCCGAAUUUUCUGCAUCAUCCAGCCUCAGUGGCCUGCUGGGCAUCUGCUGGGGCCUGUUCGUGUGCUCUUCUGAUCCUCGGCUCCUCUCCACAUCCAACUGCUUGUGUCCAUGUCCACUAGGGUCUCAGAGCUUUUAUGGGCACAGGAUGGGGGGUGUGGUGGGCCAGAGUGGUCUUGAAAAAUGCAACAUUUGGGCAUAAAAACAGGAGUGCCUGUUCUCACUUAGGUCCCUGGGCAUAAACCUGAGGGUGGAGCCCUCUCCAGGAACCCCGCCCUUCUCUCCCCAGUACUUCCUUGCUCACCUCCCAUAUCACGUCUACUGUUCCCUGGUGAAAAUAGUAAUACUGAGAAUGAGCUGGGGUGGAACAUUGAUGUCUCAAAACAUUUAUCAUUCUUUCACUUAACAAUGAAGAUGUCACUUCCUGUUAGAGAGUUUGGGGAAUAAAAAUACUUCUUAAAAAAUAAAAAAUACUCUUUGGAAAUUUACAGUUAAGAAACCCACAGUUCUUUAGUGAAUACUUAAUUCCAGGUGCUAUUUAAUUUAUACUCAACGUGGAGCCUCCCAGUCAAUCCUCACAUAAAGUAGAAGCUACUAUAACUUCAUUUUACAAAUGAGGAAACAGCGUAGACAGGUUAAGCGACUCGCUCAAGGACCCAGCAGAGUCAAGAUUCAGGCCUGGCUAUCCAGAUUCCCGAACCUUUGCUCUCAUCUGAUACACUGCUCCGCUCACCUCCUUUAACUGAAAACCCUGACUGUCACCAGACAGUUCAUCAGAUUCCCCUCAGUGUGUAUUUAAACACAGCACAAGCUGUAAGUUGGUGUAAAAGCGGUUUCUUCAUUGACUGGCAAGAAUUCUAAGGGUAAUCUCAUCAAAUUAUAAUGUUCCAGCUUUACGAGUAGAAAUUGGGGUUAAAAAGCUUUAAAUCCUUAAAAAGUAAUAGAGCGUCUAAAAAAAACCUACCACUGGUUAUAUUUACAUCUACUUGUGUUAUGAUAUGGAAACUUAAAUUUAUAAGUAACUGCCAACUUGUCUUCCAAAGUGGCUGUACCAUUUCGCAUUCUCACAAGCAAUGAAUGAGAAUUCUUGUUGCUCCUCAUCCGUGGCAGCAUUUGAGGUGCUCAUGUUCUGGAUUUUGGCCAUUCCUAAAGGUGCGUGUAGUGGUACCUCAUUGUUUUAAUUGGCGUUUUCCUGAUGACGUAUGAUGUGAAGCAUCUUUUCAUAUGCGUAUUUACUACCUGCAUAUCUUCUUUGAUGAUGUGUCUUGUCAAGAUCUUUUGCCCACUUUUCAAAUGAGUUGUUUUCUUAUUGUUGAGUUUGAAUAGUUUGAAUAUAGAAAUAGAGAAGGUUUGUUUACUAAUCAAGAUGUAUAAGCAUUUUAACAGCCAGUUGAUAGUAAAUAUGUUACUUUUUCCAAAUUGGUUACAUAGAAGUCUAUUUCUAAAACAAUAAUAAUAGUGAGAGAUUGUAUUCUUGUAGGGAAUUUUUUUCUAAGAAGCAUGGCAAAACUCUUGAUGAUUCUAUAAUAGGCUCAAAGGUUUAGGUUUGUUAGAUGUUGAUGAUGUUGAUGGGCUGCUAGAUGUCAGAUCAUGAGUCGUGAUCAUCAUCAUGACUCAUGGUGUGAGAGAACACAGCCUAGUGGGUAAGAGCAUGGAUGCGGCCGGGUGCGGUGGCUCAAGCCUGUAAUCCCAGCACUUUGGGAGGCCGAGGCAGGUGGAUCACGAGGUCAAGAGAUCGAGACCAUCCUGGUCAACAUGGUGAAACCCUGUCUCUACUAAAAAUACAAAAAAAAUUAGCUGGGCAUGGCGGUGCGUGCCUGUAAUCCCAGAUACUCAGGAGGCUGAGGCAGGAGAACUGCCUGAACCCAGGAGGCGGAGGUUUCGGUGAGCCGAGAUCGCACCAUUGCACUCCAGCCUGGGUAACAAGAGCGAAACUCCGUCUCAAAACAAAACGAAAAAAAGAGCAUGUAUGCUGGAGUUCAUGUCCCAGUGUUCCCACUUAGUGUUUGUGCGACAUUGGGCAAAUUACUCAACCUGUCUGGCCUCAGUUUCCUAAUCUGAAAAAUGGGGAGGACAAUAUUACCUGCCAUUGUGGAUUGAAUGUUUGUGUCCCCUGAAAUGCAUAUGCUGGAGCCCUAACCCCCAUGUAGCUGUAUUUGGAUAUGGCGGCUCUAAGGAUGUAGUGAAGGCUGGAUGAAUGGUAAAGAUGGAGCCCUGAGCCCGUAAAUUAGUAUCCUUAUGAGGAGAGACACCGGAGAGCUCACUCACUCUAAGGAGCACAGAGGAAGGCCAGGGGAGCACACACUGAGAAUGCGGCUGUCUGCCCCCUGUGAAGGGAGCCCUCACCCGACACCAGCUCCGCUGAUACCUUGGUCUUGAAAUUCCAGUCUCUGGAACUGUGGGAAAAUAAAUGUUUGUUGUUUAA